rnacentral:rRNA from 1 species
AAGGAAUAUUGGACAAUGGGCGGAAGCCUGAUCCAGCCAUGCCGCGUGAAGGACGAAGGCGCUCAGCGUUGUAAACUUCUUUUGGAUGGGAACAAUAAUCGAGACUUGUCUUGACUUGAGGGUACCAUCAGAAUAAGCACCGGCUAACUCCGUGCCAGCAGCCGCGGUAAUACGGAGGGUGCAAGCGUUAUCCGGAAUCACUGGGUUUAAAGGGUGCGUAGGCGGCCCGAUAAGUCAGUCGUGAAAUCGCUGGGCUCAACCCAUGCAAUUGCGAUUGAUACUGUUGGACUUGAAUUAGGUUGAGGCUGGCGGAAUGCGACAUGUAGCGGUGAAAUGCUUAGAUAUGUCGCAGAACACCGAUUGCGAAGGCAGCCAGCUGGGCCUUUAUUGACGCUGAGGCACGAAAGCGUGGGGAGCAAAC